GUAGUUCAACGGAUAGAAUAGAAGUUUCCUAAACUUUAGAUAUGAGUUCGAUUCUCGUC
rnacentral:tRNA from 1 species